rnacentral:rRNA from 1 species
UACGGGGGGUGCGAGCGUUGUCCGGAAUCACUGGGCGUAAAGAGCUCGUAGGCGGUGUGUCACGUCGGCCGUGAAAACCUGCAGCUUAACUGUGGGCGUGCGGUCGAUACGGGCAUCACUGGAGUUCGGCAGGGGAGACUGGAAUUCCUGGUGUAGCGGUGAAAUGACGCAGAUAUCAGGAGGAACACCGGUGGCGAAGGCGGGUCUCUGGGCCGAUACUGACGCUGAGGAGCGAAAGCGUGGGGAGCAAACAGG